UGUAGCCUUAGCAACUUGGCCAUGCCUCAGGCCAUCCUGAGGACAUGUCAAUACAUGUCAAUACUAGUACAUAUUCAUAUGUACCUACUUUAGGCAGUUGGCUGUAGUCUAUUUGUAAUCGCUGGAAGGUUAUUCUGGUUUAGCAAAGUGCUGUCUCAGAGAUUUGACUACCUGACCAGGAUUAUGACGUAAACAGAUCAACCCCCACAUGAUUUGACUUCUGAUGAUGUUGUUAGCAGGUGUGAUGAUAAUGGACUCCUUUUGGAUGCAUCCACCACUGGAAUACUUGUUAACACCACACUAGGAUCGGAAGUGCAGGCAUGGAAGAGCAGUAAAAUUAAUAGAACACAAGGCAGUUUUACUUCGUUUUUGUAAAUAAACAAUAUAUGCAUACCAACUUUACCAUCAUUAGGAGUCAGGUGUGGAGACCAGUCCGAAGAGGAUACCCUCCGUAUUAUGUAUUAAAAGCUGAUAAUGGAACUAUCUUACUGCAGAAUCAAACAGAAAUUAAAUUUUGUCAUUUACCAUUGGGUUUAGUUCAUCAAAGAGCCGAAGAUAGUUAUGAUGCAUAUCUUAAUAAUACUAAUGAUAUUUACUCAGUGACUAUGAUUUUAACAUGUAAUUUAACAGUAUUUUUCUGUCAUAAAAAUACUGAAAUUAGUGGGCUGAAUAUAUAAUAUUUUUUAGUAAUAGGCCAAAUAUUACUAGUAAAAAUAAUUUAGUGAGAAUUCCUUCCACAUUUCAAAAAUUAGGAACUCAAUCUAAACAAAUAGUGAUUAAUUUUUCAGUUAAAUUUCCUAGUACAAAUAAAAAUUUUAAGGUCAGGAAAAAAAAAAA